UUAAGUGACUAAGCGUACACGGUGGAUGCCUAGGCAGUCAGAGGCGAUGAAGGGCGUGUUAAUCUGCGAUAAGCGUCGGUAAGGUGAUAUAAACCGUUACAACCGGCGAUACCCGAAUGGGGAAACCCAGUGCAAUUCGUUGCACUAUCAUACGAUGAAUACAUAGUCGUAUGAGGCGAACCGGGGGAACUGAAACAUCUAAGUACCCCGAGGAAAAGAAAUCAACCGAGAUUCCCCCAGUAGCGGCGAGCGAACGGGGAGGAGCCCAGAACCUGAAUCAGUUCUUGUGUUAGUGGAAGCGUCUGGAAAGUCGCACAGCAAAGGGUGAUAGUCCCGUACACUAAAAUGCAUUAACUGUGAGUUCGAUGAGUAGGGCGGGACACGUGACAUCCUGUCUGAAUAUGGGGGGACCAUCCUCCAAGGCUAAAUACUCCUGACUGACCGAUAGUGAACCAGUACCGUGAGGGAAAGGCGAAAAGAACCCCGGCGAGGGGAGUGAAAUAGAACCUGAAACCGUGUACGUACAAGCAGUGGGAGCCUACUUUGUUGGGUGACUGCGUACCUUUUGUAUAAUGGGUCAGCGACUUAUAUUUUGUAGCAAGGUUAACCGUAUAGGGGAGCCGUAGGGAAACCGAGUCUUAACUGGGCGAAUAGUUGCAAGGUAUAGACCCGAAACCCGGUGAUCUAGCCAUGGGCAGGUUGAAGGUUGGGUAACACUAACUGGAGGACCGAACCGACUAAUGUUGAAAAAUUAGCGGAUGACUUGUGGCUGGGGGUGAAAGGCCAAUCAAACCGGGAGAUAGCUGGUUCUCCCCGAAAGCUAUUUAGGUAGCGCCUCGUGAACUCAUCUUCGGGGGUAGAGCACUGUUUCGGCUAGGGGGCCAUCCCGGCUUACCAAACCGAUGCAAACUCCGAAUACCGAAGAAUGUUAUCACGGGAGACACACGGCGGGUGCUAACGUCCGUCGUGAAGAGGGAAACAACCCAGACCGCCAGCUAAGGUCCCAAAGUCAUGGUUAAGUGGGAAACGAUGUGGGAAGGCAUAGACAGCCAGGAUGUUGGCUUAGAAGCAGCCAUCAUUUAAAGAAAGCGUAAUAGCUCACUGGUCGAGUCGGCCUGCGCGGAAGAUGUAACGGGGCUAAACCAUGCACCGAAGCUGCGGCAGCGACGCUUAGGCGUUGUUGGGUAGGGGAGCGUUCUGUAAGCCGUUGAAGGUGGCCUGUGAGGGUUGCUGGAGGUAUCAGAAGUGCGAAUGCUGACAUAAGUAACGAUAAAGCGGGUGAAAAACCCGCUCGCCGGAAGACCAAGGGUUCCUGUCCAACGUUAAUCGGGGCAGGGUGAGUCGACCCCUAAGGCGAGGCCGAAAGGCGUAGUCGAUGGGAAACAGGUUAAUAUUCCUGUACUCGGUGUUACUGCGAAGGGGGGACGGAGAAGGCUAGGCUAGCCGGGCGACGGUUGUCCCGGUUUAAGCGUGUAGGGGGAGUGACUUGGUAAAUCCGGUGACUUAUUCAACCCUGAGGCGUGAUGACGAUGCACUACGGUGCAGAAGUAGUUGAUGCCAAGCUUCCAGGAAAAGCCUCUAAGCAUCAGGUAACAUCAAAUCGUACCCCAAACCGACACAGGUGGUCAGGUAGAGAAUACCAAGGCGCUUGAGAGAACUCGGGUGAAGGAACUAGGCAAAAUGGUGCCGUAACUUCGGGAGAAGGCACGCUGGCGCGUAGGUGAAGAGACUUGCUCUCGGAGCUGAAGCCAGUCGCAGAUACCAGCUGGCUGCAACUGUUUAAUAAAAACACAGCACUGUGCAAACACGAAAGUGGACGUAUACGGUGUGACGCCUGCCCGGUGCUGGAAGGUUAAUUGAUGGGGUCAGCCGCAAGGCGAAGCUCUUGAUCGAAGCCCCAGUAAACGGCGGCCGUAACUAUAACGGUCCUAAGGUAGCGAAAUUCCUUGUCGGGUAAGUUCCGACCUGCACGAAUGGCGUAAUGAUGGCCAGGCUGUCUCCACCCGAGACUCAGUGAAAUUGAACUCGCUGUGAAGAUGCAGUGUACCCGCGGCAAGACGGAAAGACCCCGUGAACCUUUACUAUAGCUUGACACUGAACAUUGAGCCUUGAUGUGUAGGAUAGGUGGGAGGCUUUGAAGCGUGGACGCCAGUCUGCGUGGAGCCAACCUUGAAAUACCACCCUUUAAUGUUUGAUGUUCUAACUCGGCCCCGUAAUCCGGGGUGAGGACAGUGUCUGGUGGGUAGUUUGACUGGGGCGGUCUCCUCCCAAAGAGUAACGGAGGAGCACGAAGGUUAGCUAAUCACGGUCGGACAUCGUGAGGUUAGUGCAAAGGCAUAAGCUAGCUUGACUGCGAGAGUGACGGCUCGAGCAGGUACGAAAGUAGGUCUUAGUGAUCCGGUGGUUCUGAAUGGAAGGGCCAUCGCUCAACGGAUAAAAGGUACUCCGGGGAUAACAGGCUGAUACCGCCCAAGAGUUCAUAUCGACGGCGGUGUUUGGCACCUCGAUGUCGGCUCAUCACAUCCUGGGGCUGAAGUAGGUCCCAAGGGUAUGGCUGUUCGCCAUUUAAAGUGGUACGCGAGCUGGGUUUAGAACGUCGUGAGACAGUUCGGUCCCUAUCUGCCGUGGGCGUUGGAAGAUUGAGAGGGGUUGCUCCUAGUACGAGAGGACCGGAGUGAACGCACCACUGGUGUUCGGGUUGUCAUGCCAAUGGCAUUGCCCGGUAGCUAAGUGCGGAAAAGAUAAGCGCUGAAAGCAUCUAAGCGCGAAACUUGCCUCGAGAUGAGUCUUCCCUGGGAACUUGAUCCCCCUGAAGGAACGUUUAAGACUAAGACGUUGAUAGGCUGGGUGUGUAAGUGCAGCGAUGCAUUGAGCUAACCAGUACUAAUGAUCCGUGAGACUUAACCUU
rnacentral:rRNA from 1 species